UUCAACCUUGUAGUUCUCCUUAUGAUUCCACUGAGUCCAAACACUACUACUCUAAUCCAACUUCCAUCUUCCUCUUGCACUACACAACUUCAACAGGAACAACCCAUAAAGAGAUUAAUGACAUUGGUCCUGCCUAAGACCCCACUUCAAACUGAAUUCCACUUCUCCAAGUUAUAUAAAUCCUAUACUUGUUGCAGAACACCAACCAAAACCCUUACACCAUAAAGAUUCAUCUUCUCUUCUCUACUUCUCCUCGUUAAACUCUUCUGACUUUCACAACCCCUUUGACUUCACAUUUUAACUUGAUCCACGAUAGAUGUAUCACCCUCGCUUUUCUUCCUUGCUAAGAAUUCACUUCCUAAAAACCUUAAAUCUGAGCUCUUAUACUGACUCCACCAACGUCACAUCACUUAGAAUUUAUCGUAUACUCUUUGCUGCCAGCUUAUCUCAAAACCUUCCUCACAAGUUUCCAUCCCUAACUCAAAAACAUCAAUAUACACAAUUUACCUUUAAUCCUUUGAACCUCCGAAUAACUUUAACCCGCGGCAUCAACCCUCUGACUUUAUCCGAACUUACCCACUUACUAUCCUCUGUAACUCAACAUCUAACAUUCACUUUUAUCUUGUUUUAACUCAGCUGAUCACUGAACAUCAACACAAAUCCACACCUAAAGAAAACUGAUCGUAUUACAACGUAACGCUUCAUAACUAUGAACAUCUCAAUCAACCUGGACUCUCUGAUCAUUUAUGAUACCCUCUCUCACAACUUAUACUGUAACCACCCUUUGUCAUUUGCUCUAAAACCUUUCUUCUCCUUUCCUCAUCCAUUGUGCUCUUAAUUCUCUAACCUUAUACUUCCUACCAAACUGACAUUUUGAUGCACUCCUUCCUUCGACAUGUGAAAUCUUUCAUCUCAGCCAAUAAUCAAACCUUUCUUCUAUACGAACCACUGCUCUUGAAACAUCCUUUUAAACUUUACUAUACAAUACCCCCUUGCGAUUAUCAUUCAACAUAUAACCCUACAAUACUUCAAUUCUCCUCACAGACUUCAUGUUCUCUCCAUCUUAGAAAUUCCACCCUUUAUUACCCAUUCCUUAAAUAUGCUCUAUGUCUUACAUAACUGCUUCUCCAACUCUUCUUCUUCUAAUUCCUUUCUAAACAUUGAUUCCCUUUAUUCCACUUCAGAAUUCUUAUUCUUUUCUUAACUUAAGCUUUAAAACAAUCUACCACUUUUCUUACUCAAAUCCUAAACCUUGCUACUUCAAUUCUUAUCCAAAACUCCUCUUAUUUUAUCCUCUUGAACUCAAGUCUUCUUGUGAAACGUACAAUAUUUAAUCUCCUAACUUUAUCCUUGAAAACUUCUUCACCCAAAAACAUUACUUAUAAAUUUCCAAUAUCUCUGCACAUCCCUUGAAACCAAAACUCUGGUCUUCUAACUCCUCAUCUUCGAGGCAAGAAUUUGUCUCAAAGGCUUAAAC
rnacentral:lncRNA from 1 species